rnacentral:lncRNA from 1 species
UAUUUUUGGUAGAUGAUCUAUCGAUGUAUUUCUUCACGAUUAAUUUGAAAACAUCUUUUUAACUUUGAAGUUCCUCAGCCUUUAGGCACUAGCAUGCCAUAGAGAAAACAAACGAGCAUAUUCUUUAACCAAUGUUGAAGUAUUCUCAUCAUCCCAGGAGUAGCAUUUUUCAAGUUAAAUUCAAGCAUGUGAAUUGCACAUCUCUUUAAAUUGGGAGC